CCUACGGGCGGCUGCAGUGGGGAAUAUUGGACAAUGGGGGCAACCCUGAUCCAGCCAUGCCGCGUGUGUGAAGAAGGCCCUCGGGUUGUAAAGCACUUUCAGUGAGGAAGAACGCCUGGUGGUUAAUACCCAUCAGGAAAGACAUCACUCACAGAAGAAGCACCGGCUAACUCCGUGCCAGCAGCCGCGGUAAUACGGAGGGUGCGAGCGUUAAUCGGAAUUACUGGGCGUAAAGCGCGCGUAGGUGGCUUGAUAAGCCGGUUGUGAAAGCCCCGGGCUCAACCUGGGAACGGCAUCCGGAACUGUCAAGCUAGAGUGCAGGAGAGGAAGGUAGAAUUCCCGGUGUAGCGGUGAAAUGCGUAGAGAUCGGGAGGAAUACCAGUGGCGAAGGCGGCCUUCUGGACUGACACUGACACUGAGGUGCGAAAGCGUGGGUAGCAAACAGGAUUAGAUGCCCGUGUAGUC
rnacentral:rRNA from 1 species